rnacentral:rRNA from 1 species
UACGUAGGAUCCAAGCGUUAUCCGGAUUUACUGGGUGUAAAGAGUUGCGUAGGUGGUCUGUUAAGCAAAUAGUGAAAUCGUGUGGCUCAACCAUGCAUCCAUUAUUUGAACUGGCAGACUUGAGAGUGAGAGAGGUAGAUGGAAUUGCUAGUGUAGGAGUGGAAUCCGUAGAUAUUAGCAGGAACACCGAUGGCGUAGGCAGUCUACUGGCUCAUUUCUGACACUAAGGCACGAAAGCGUGGGGAGCAAACGGG